CAAGAAUGUGCACGGGGAGAAGUAGGAGUCUAUCGCGCGUUUUUUAAGAUACCUGAAAGAACACGUUUGAAGGCCUUUGUUUUCCUCAAUUGCUCUGUUUUCAUGCCAUUCAUACCAAAGGACUCCCUCAAGUCUGCAAGAAUCUUGUAGGUAGUCUCAGAUAACUCGUGUUACUCUGUACACUAGGUUACCCUGUUUUAUAACUGCAGUCAAAAUGUUGAGAGGCUGGUCUGAGGGCAGCAGCUCACUUCGUGCUGAAUUCUCUUCUUGAAGCAGUGAUACUCCGUGGUUUAGUUCACCUCAGCUUUGAAAGCAAUUUUCCUCCUUUCCUGAUAUGGUUCUGCGUAGCAUCCUGCACUGUAUACAGUUUCUGGGUGUUCCAGUCACUACUGACAAAACGUAACAUAUCAUCUGGUUUUUAUGUAGCCUGCUAAGUUUACCAGGAAAAGGUAAGGACAAUGAACUUUCCUCCAUGACUAAGGUAAAAAAAGUGCUUUCAGAGGAAAUAUCCUUUCCUUUUUCAAUGAGCUUGCA
rnacentral:lncRNA from 1 species